UAGGAAAGUCGGGUAAUCGCUCAGUUAUAGCAAUAUAGUUGGGAGGAAAGUCCGGACACCGACAAGUACCGCGCUCUGCGAUCCUUCGGGCGUAGCAGAGGCUCUUUAUCAGGAAUGAUACUGAGACAGACAGUGCAACAGAAAACAAACUACCUCCAGCGCGGAGCGCUGGUUAAAUUUCAAAUAACAAGCUCCAAAACACAAACAAAUCACAAUGUUUAAAUAUUAAAACAUUGGUGCUUGUUUGAAAUUUGGGUUUUAAACAUUGGAAUUUCCAACGCUCCGCGUUGGGGGUGAUGGUGAAAAGGUGAGGUAAGAGCUCACCGCUCUUAGGGCGACCGAAGAGGCAAGGUAAACCUCGCGGGGUGCAAGCUCAUGUAAGAUGGUAUACGCCACUUGUCGUGACGCCAUCGGGUGGAGUGCACCAGAUAAAUGAUUACCGAAUCCGCUUUAGCGGAGGAACAAAAUCCGGCUUACAGGCUUUCCUGUUGA
rnacentral:RNase_P_RNA from 1 species